rnacentral:lncRNA from 1 species
GCUCUCCAGAGCUAUUGUUUGCGUGGGGAAACGGGGACGGCGCUCUCAAGUAGCCGACUGUUCUGUGGGAAACGGGGGACGGCGCUCUCCAAGUAGCCGACUGUCUCUGGUGGUGAAACGGGGGACGGUCUCAGAUAAUGUCUCUGGUGGGUGAGGACGGGAAGGCGCUCUCCAGGUAGCCUAAGUCUCUGGUGAGACGGGGGACGGCGUCUCCAGUAGCCUACUGUCUCUGGUGGUGAAACGGGGGACGGCGUCUCCAGGUAGCCUAUUGUCUCUGGUGGUGAAACGGGGAAGGCGCUCUCCAGGUAGCCUAAUGUCUCUGGUGUUGAAACGGGGGACGGCGCUCUCCAGGUAGCCUACUGUCUCUGGUGGGAAACGGGGGACAGCGUUCUCCAAGUAGCCUACUGUCUCGGUGGGGAAACGGACGGCCCUCUACGUAGACUACUGUCUCUGGUGGUGAAACUGGGACAGCGCUCUCCAUGUAGCCUACUGUCUCUGGUGGUGAAACGGGGGCGGCGCUCUCCAAGUAGUCUACUGUCUCUGGUGGUGAAACGGGGGACGGCUCUCUCAAGUAGGCACUGUCCUCUGGUGGUGAAACGGACGGCUUCCAAGUAGCCUAAUGUCUCUGGUGGUGAAACGGGGGACGGCGCUCUCCAAGUAGCCGACUGUCUCUGGUGGGGAAACGGGGGACGCGCUCUCCAAGUAGCCGACUGUCUCUGGUGGGGGGGGGGGCGUUCUCCAAGUAGCCUACUGUCUCUGGUGGUGAAACCGGGGGACGGCGCUCUCCAGGUAGCCUACUGUCUCUGGUGGUGAAACGGACGGCCCUCUCCAGUAGCCUACUGUCUCUGGUGGGGAAACGGGGGACAGCGUUCUCCAAGUAGCCUACUGUCUCUGGUGGGGAAACGGACGGCCCUCUCCAAGUAGACUACUGUCUCUGGUGGGUGAAAGGGGGACAGCGCUCUCCAAGUAGUCUACUGUCUCUGGUGGUGAAACGGACGGCCCUCUCCAAGUAGCCUACUGUCUCUGGUGGUGAGACGGAUGGCCCUCUCCAAGUACUCUACUGUCUCUGGUGGUGAAAACUGGGGACAGCGCUCUCCAAGUAGCCUACGUCUCUGGUGGUGAAAACAGGGGACAGCGCUCUCCAAGUAGCCUACUGUUUCUGGUGGGGAAACGGACGGCCCUCUCCAUGGUACUGAUUAAUUCAAAGCAUUUUAGACGUCACUGCAGUACGCCCACAUACUCGGUAUCGCCACGGGGUUUUACACAAGUCCCAAUUUCUUUAUGGCAUCGUUUUCAACA